rnacentral:lncRNA from 1 species
GUUAGAUAGGACUAGGAGUCAAAGAGGAUUCUGGGAAAUGUAGUAGAGAAGUGGUGAUCCAGGCAGGAAGUGACAUAGCAAGGAGACUCAUAUUUAAGCAAAGGAAACAGGAAGUGUCCCCUUUUCUCCUCCUUUCUUCCUCCAGCAGCGCAAUGUGAUCCACCGGCAAGGAGGGAUGCCAAUAAGGUGUCCGAUAAGAUAAGUCUUAUAAAAUAUAUAGAUUUAUGAUAAUUAAAACUGAGCUAGCAGAUGAGAAUCCUAGUCAUUGGCCAAGCAGCAUUUGAACCUAAUACAAGUCCCUCUGUGUAUUAAUUUGGGCCCUAACUCUGGUGGGCGGCUGGUGUAAAGCGCACACGUGCUGGUGGGGCUCAGCGGCUUUUGGUGGAAAGAUUUAUCGUAAUAUAAGGCCAGUGGAGAGAGGAGUACAGUCUAGGCAGUCUGAGGAGCAGUGCAGUCUGGAUAUGCAAUCAGAGGACAUGAUCGCCCCUUCGGUCUGAGCAUCCAUUGAGAGCCUUCAUCCAGCAGCUGGAAGUAGAAGCAGACACCCACAGCUAAACACUGAACUGAACUGGAAUCCAGUUGCAGAGAAGGAGGAGUGACGAGCAAAGGGGUCCAGACCAGGCUGGUGAAACCCACAGAAACAGCUGACCUGAACAAGAGGGAGCUCUUGGUCCCCAGACUGAUAGCUGGGAAACCAGCAUGGGACUGAUCCAGACUCCAUGAAUUUUUACAUAUGGCCUCUAACCCAUCUGGAAAUCAUUUUGAAGGCAUUUAUUCCUCACAGUUGUGGAGACUGGAAGCUCAGAAGCAAGUGCCAAAUGGCUCUGCCUCAGAGCAUGGAUGACUCGGAGGCAAUUUGUAUCACCAUGAGCUCACACCAAUAUGAGUGACAGUUCAUAAAAGCUUUGAGCCCUGGAGCUCUUUACUCAACUUGCAGGAAGCUCUUCAGGUUGGAGAGCCUUCUCUCCUCAGCAGCUGGCCUGGCUCAUUUCCUUCAAACCUGCAGAUUUCUUAGACAUGCACAUCAUCUGACUGGACUGUUGCAUGCCAAGCAGCCCAGACACCUGCUCAAGCUCAGUCAGCAUGUCUUCCAAAGCCCCAAGGCUUCCUUCAGCUGCCUGCUCCCUUCAAACGUGGCAGAGUUUCUCUUUGAAGCCGACUUUCUCACACUCUACCCUGCCACCAAGGUUACCCUCUCAUGUUCAGGAGACAAUUCACUGCCAUUGGCUGAGCUCUGUAAUAAUGGAACACUGUAGCACCUCUUUCUUCUUCCUCUACAAACGUCUAGAAGGUCAGUUCUGCUCUCAGUCUAGAUCUCAGAGGUAUCCCCCUACACACACAGACACACAUGCACACAUACACACACACACACACACACACACACACACACACACACACACACAGUCACACAUGCACACACAUACACACAUGCACACACACAUAGACACACAUGCACACACAAUACACACACAUGCACACACAUAUACACACAUACAUACGGACAUACACACAUACACACACGGUCACACAUGCACACACAUACACACAUGUACACACAUAUAUACACAUAUGCACACACAGACACACACACAAACACACACACUUGCACACACACAUAUACAUAUGUACAUGCACACAUAAACACACACCCACACCCACACACUUUUGCAUUCCCAAGGGGCUCUGACUCUGUGGAUAUCUAUUUUCUUGGUGUCUCUAGGACCUAUCACUGGUGGGGCCCUUCCCCCUUAUUCCUGCUCUCUUCCUAUUCAAUUGGUCCAGUCUUUGGGGCUCACUACAUUCUGGAGUUUCUGUAUCUCAUAAGCUCAUGGAUUACUGAAUGUAUCAGUUGAUUCUUAAGUGUUCACUUGUUACUUUGUAUGGUUUUCAGAAAGGAAGACAUUUGGACCUCAGCUGUGGCCAAGUUCCUUUUAAAAGUCAAUUCUGGAUUUUCAUGCUUUGAAAUAUACCUUGUGUAUAGAACAAAAUAGACUCAUUGUAACCUUCUUAAUGUAUUGCAUUUAAGACUUACCAAUGAGAGUUCUUUUUGCUGAAAUAAACAGAAUUAUAUUUUUAAUUAA